rnacentral:tRNA from 1 species
GACCGGGUGCCCGAGAGGCUAGGGAAAGGUCUGCAAAACCUUUUUACGAGGGUUCGAAUCCCUCCCCGGUCUCAA